UGCUGCUUAUCCACACAAAGUCCAGUUGGCUGCGCUUAAUUCUACAGCAGAGUGACACGCCAAAUAAAUAACAGAGAUACCGAACAUCCAGGUGAACCAAUUUCAGCCUCCAAAAUAUUCUCUAUACAGAAUUCAUUUCUGGAUCGUCCGCAAUCGUCCGCCGGUGCAUAGGCAAAUUGACUCAUAAAAGUAUAUAUUCGAAAUCUAUACAUAGACGUACUCACGUACAACGGUACAAUUAAAAUUUAUGUAACGGUAAUUGUACAUUCAGUUAGAUUCCGGGUUCUUUUUUCCCCCUGUUUUCCUUAUAGGCAACUAACUCGUCAAACACCUGCCGACAUUGGAAAAAGUAGAACUUCUUGAAGAACACGGUCUUCAUUCACCAAAUUGCAGCUUUCGAAGAAGCCCCAUAUGCUGUGAAAACGGCAACAGCAGUACAAUAUAUGUUUCUGUGCCGAGUAUAAUCUUUGUAAAAAAAUAAAAAUGAUGAGAAAGAAAUAGCUUUCUAAACGUGAAUGAACCGAACGACCGGCCUCGGCAGAUUAUGGAGAAACCAAUAUGUUAAGAUUUGGAAACCACUUUCACCACAACCACGACUGAUGUACACAACAUAGUCAAAGAGCAUCUUGUGCAAUGUCAUCUGACAUCAGCAGCAACACAGUCGUCCCAGCAAGAGAAAGCAAGAGGUGGAGUCUACGUUCCAUGUCCAGUAGCCUAUAAAUUCCCUCAUACGUACACUUUUGGCGCAAAGUGAAUUAAAGCGUUAGUUGAGUUCAGCCCGCACAAGUGAGUAGUGACCACAUCCUUCUUAUAAAUAACAUGAAGGUGCUUAUCGUAUCAGCUUUGUUGGUGUUCGUGGUGGUGGCGGUGUCAGGUCAAGUACAGCAGAUCUUAUUUCCUGAUCAUCCGGCAACAGCACCUUUCCUUGAAAAUAACCGUCGUGAGCCGGCCUAUCAGCAUAAUGUUGCCUACCAUCCGGAAUACAGGCCGCCGGCAAUGCCGAAAAUCCUCGUCUUCAUGUCGAAGAUAAGGAAAAUGUUUCUGAAUUGAACGGCGGAUUAUGUAAUAUGUUGUCGGAAGAGUCAAGUUUUAAUCAGCAUCCAAGUAUUCAUUGUUAUUCAAAUAUUUCCUAUACUGACUGUUGAGCGCGGUGGCUCCGUAAACGAAAUCAAAAACGAACGCCACUUUACACAUGUAUACAAACUAAUUUAUAUUUGGAAAAUCCAAACUAAUCAUUGUGUUAUUAUUAAAAUAGUUUCGCAUCUUUUGGCGUUUACUUUUUUUUUUUUUUUUUUUUUGCUGGACAUUGCACUCCAGUUUGAGAGUUGCGUCAUUAUUUUGGGUGCAGGAAAAUCCAGAGGAAAACAAUAUAUAAGGACCAAUACAG
rnacentral:lncRNA from 1 species